UACUAUGGAGAGUUUGAUCCUGGCUCAGGAUGAACGCUAGCGGCAGGCUUAAUACAUGCAAGUCGAGGGGCAGCACGGGUAGCAAUACCUGGUGGCGACCGGCGCACGGGUGCGUAACGCGUAUGUAAUCUACCAUUAACCGGGGAAUAGCCCAGAGAAAUCUGGAUUAAUGCCCCAUAGUAUUAUCGAAAGGCAUCUUUUGAUAAUUAAAGCUCAGGCGGUUUUUGAUGAACAUGCGUGUCAUUAGUUUGUUGGUGAGGUAACGGCUCACCAAGACUACGAUGACUAGGGGGUCUGAGAGGAUGAUCCCCCACACUGGUACUGAGACACGGACCAGACUCCUACGGGAGGCAGCAGUAAGGAAUAUUGGGCAAUGGAGGCAACUCUGACCCAGCCAUGCCGCGUGAAGGAUUGACGGCCCUCUGGGUUGUAAACUUCUUUUGUACGGGAAUAACCCUCCGAACGUGUUCGGAGCUGAAGGUACCGUAAGAAUAAGGAUCGGCUAACUCCGUGCCAGCAGCCGCGGUAAUACGGAGGAUCCAAGCGUUAUCCGGAUUUACUGGGUUUAAAGGGUGCGUAGGCGGAUUGAUAAGUCAGUGGUGAAAGCCUGCAGCUUAACUGCAGAACUGCCAUUGAUACUGCCAGUCUGGAGUAUGGUUGAGGUAGCUGGAAUGUGUCAUGUAGCGGUGAAAUGCUUAGAGAUGACACAGAACACCGACGGCGAAGGCAGGUUACCAACCCAUUACUGACGCUGAGGCACGAAAGCGUGGGGAUCAAACAGGAUUAGAUACCCUGGUAGUCCACGCCGUAAACGAUGAGUGCUAGGUGUCGGGGGUAUCGACCCCCUCGGUGCCACAGCUAACGCAAUAAGCACUCCGCCUGGGGAGUACGGCCGCAAGGUUGAAACUCAAAG
rnacentral:rRNA from 1 species